CCCUUAGAUGUUCUGGGCCGCACACGCGCUACACUGAAGGAGGCAGCGUGUACUCCUGGAUCGAAAGAUUUGGGUAACCCGCGAAUCUCCUUCGUGCUAGGGAUUGAGGUUUGCAAUUAUCCUUCAUGAACGAGGAAUUCCCAGUAAGUGCAAGUCAUAAGCUUGCGCUGACUACGUCCCUGCCCUUUGUACACACCGCCCGUCGCUACUACCGAUUGAACGAUUUAGUGAGGACUUCGGACUGGGACCGAUGCGGCUUUCGGGCUGCGUCGGUAUUCUGGAAAGAUGUCCAAACUGUAUCAUUUAGAGGAAGUAAAANUCGUANCA
rnacentral:rRNA from 1 species